GGAAUUUUGGACAAUGGGCGCAAGCCUGAUCCAGCCAUGCCGCGUGCGGGAAGAAGGCCUUCGGGUUGUAAACCGCUUUUGGCAGGAACGAAACGGCGCUGGCUAAUACCUCGCGUUAAUGACGGUACCUGCAGAACAAGCACCGGCUAACUACGUCCCAGCUGCCGCGGUAAUACGUGGGGUGCAAGCGUUAAUCGGAAUGACUGGGCGUAAAGCGUACGCAGGCGGCUUUGCAAGACAGGUGUGAAAUCCCCGGGCCUAACCUGGGAACUGCGUUUGUGACUGCAUGGCUAGAGUCUGUCAGAGGGGGGUGGAAUUCCACGUGUAGCAGUGAAAUGCGUAGAGAUGUGGAAGAACACCGAUGGCGAAGGCAGCCCCCUGGGAUAAGACUGACGCUCAUGUACGAAAGCGUGGGGAGCAA
rnacentral:rRNA from 1 species